rfam:Loktanella cinnabarina LL-001 DNA, contig: LCI003.
GGGUGAUUAGCUCAGUGGUAGAGCGCUUCGUUCACAUCGAAGAUGUCAGGGGUUCAAAUCCCUUAUCACCCA